rnacentral:rRNA from 1 species
GACGAACGCUGGCGGCGUGCCUAAUACAUGCAAGUCGAGCGCAGGAAACUGACGGAACUCUUCGGAGGGAAGGCAGUGGAAUGAGCGGCGGACGGGUGAGUAACACGUAAGGAACCUGCCUCAAGGAUUGGGAUAACUCCGAGAAAUCGGAGCUAAUACCGGAUAGUUCAACGGACCGCAUGGUCCGCUGAUGAAAGGCGCUUCGGCGUCACCUUGAGAUGGCCUUGCGGUGCAUUAGCUAGUUGGUGGGGUAACGGCCCACCAAGGCGACGAUGCAUAGCCGACCUGAGAGGGUGAUCGGCCACACUGGGACUGAGACACGGCCCAGGCUCCUACGGGAAGCAGCAGUAGGGAAUCUUCCACAAUGGACGAAAGUCUGAUGGAGCAACGCCGCGUGAGUGAUGAAGGUUUUCGGAUCGUAAAACUCUGUUGUAAGGGAAGAACACGUACGAGAGGAAAUGCUCGUACCUUGACGGUACCUUACGAGAAAGCCACGGCUAACUACGUGCCAGCCGCCGCCGUAA